CGCGUAGGCGGCUUAACAAGUCACUUGUGAAAUCUCCGGGCUUAACUCGGAACGGCCAAGUGAAACUGUCAAGCUAGAGUGCAGAAGGGGCAAUCGGAAUUCUUGGUGUAGCGGUGAAAUGCGUAGAUAUCAAGAGGAACACCUGAGGUGAAGACGGGUUGCUGGGCUGACACUGACGCUGAGGCGCGAAAGCCAGGGAGCAAACG
rnacentral:rRNA from 1 species